ACUUCCCCAAACAUUAAACUCAAUUAAUAGUGAUUAAACAGAUUUUAAACAAAAUUAAGACUAAAAGGGAUUAGGGUUUGUUUACGUGAGAUGCUCACAUUCUCCUUCUUCUCUUCACGAGACCGGCGCGCGGCGGAGACUCUCCCAUCUCUCCACUCUAUGAAACGGCGCGGCGGCCGGAGACGAUGCCGGAGAGUCCAUUUCAGAUCUCUCCUCUUCAAUUGCUCAUCGCUUUUCAUCUCGACCUCAAUCUCUGAUUACGAACUCUACGGCUUCACCUCUCGCUAAUCCCUCUCGAUCACUCUCCGAAUCAACCUCUCCGUCUCUCUCUCUCUUUGCGAUUCAAAUCGUCUCUCAACCUCACGGCCGGCAGUGUGAUGCGGUGGAGAUACGAUGCGGUGUCGUGGACAUGUGCAGAGAUGCGUUCUUGCGUCGGAUUGAAGAUGAUAAAGAUAUUGAAUCGGUGUUGAUGCGAAGCGGUGAUGAUUCUGUGAAGAUUGUAGAUGCUCGAAUCUGCAGGAUUAUGUUGUGGUUGUCAUCAUGGUGAAGGUGCGAUUCAGAGAUAGUGCGGAGAGGUUCUGAGAUUGAAGAGUUAUGGAGAAUUGAUGAUUGGUGAAGAAAUUGAAGAUGAUUGGGAAGAAGAUGAAGGUGAUGGUUUCAGAUUGAAGAUUGAAGGUGAUGGAUCGAGGGAGAAAUUGGAGAGAGUUUGUUACAGGUUUUUCUGAAGGUUGAUGAAGAGAGAAAGGUUAUGGUGAAGCCGAAUCGAAACUGGAGUUUUGUUUUGGAUGGCUCAAAUUGAUUGAAAGUCUUGCCGAAAAAACGUGGAGCUGCCGGUGUUGAAGACUUGAAAGCAUUCCCUGAAAACUUAGUCUUAGUGCAAAUAUGUAUGGGGUUGGAUUUGAAUGUAUAUGAGUUUUCUUCUUGUAGAUUGCAUUCCAAACAAAUCAAAAAUGAAUUAAUCUUCCAUCUCGACAUAUCUUAAAGAAACUCGAUCCAAUAUUUGAAUUGUACCGAACCCACAACGUCACUUGAAUGAACUUCAAUUCAACGAAAUC